rnacentral:rRNA from 1 species
UACGUAGGGUGCAAGCGUUACUCGGAAUUACUGGGCGUAAAGCGUGCGCAGGCGGUUUUGUAAGUCUGUCGUGAAAUCCCCAGGCUCAACCUGGGAAUUGCGAUGGAGACUGCAAGGCUAGAAUCUGGCAGAGGGGGGUAGAAUUCCACGUGUAGCAGUGAAAUGCGUAGAGAUGUGGAGGAACACCGAUGGCGAAGGCAGCCCCCUGGGUCAAGAUUGACGCUCAUGCACGAAAGCGUGGGGAGCAAACAGG